AGUGAACGCUGGCGGUAGGCCUAACACAUGCAAGUCGAACGGCAGCACAGUAAGAGCUUGCUCUUACGGGUGGCGAGUGGCGGACGGGUGAGGAAUACAUCGGAAUCUACUUUUUCGUGGGGGAUAACGUAGGGAAACUUACGCUAAUACCGCAUACGACCUACGGGUGAAAGCAGGGGAUUUUCGGACCUUGCGCGAUUGAAUGAGCCGAUGUCGGAUUAGCUAGUUGGCGGGGUAAAGGCCCACCAAGGCGACGAUCCGUAGCUGGUCUGAGAGGAUGAUCAGCCACACUGGAACUGAGACACGGUCCAGACUCCUACGGGAGGCAGCAGUGGGGAAUAUUGGACAAUGGGCGCAAGCCUGAUCCAGCCAUACCGCGUGGGUGAAGAAGGCCUUCGGGUUGUAAAGCCCUUCUGUUGGGAAAGAAAAGCAGCAGGUUAAUACCCCGCUGUUCUGACGGUACCCAAAGAAUAAGCACCGGCUAACUUCGUG
rnacentral:rRNA from 1 species